CGUGGGCUUCCGGGGUCUCCUUCCAGUCGAUCCUCGUGUUGACAAAAGCGGUGUUCUCCCGGAAAGUUUGAGGGAAAUUAGAGGCGGAGAGGGAGGAGGAAGGGAAAGGGAAGUCCUUGAAGGGGUCCCAGAGGUCGAGCGAGAAGGGGUCGAAGACGUUGCUGCGACGGCCGCCGAACCAACUUGGGAUGAGCGACAUCGUACCUGCUUCUGCUGCAGCUGUUAGAUGAUUCAAAGACGUUUGGUGAUCGAUCGUGGGACUGACGCUCUCUGUUGCUGAUGCUUUCGUUGAAGUGUGGAAGAAAAGGCGGACAUGCCCGGUAUUUAUAGGAGAGAAGAAGAGAUAAGGAUCGAACGAUGGAAGUUUCGGUUAAAAAUAGAGAAACAUCUGGUCUCGCCUAGAUAGAUCUCUCUCGAAACUGGGCCAUCCUCUCGUGAAACUUCUGGUCUUGGAAGUGUGGAGAUGUCUCGAGACAGGCCCAUAACUAUUGUUUGACCGGCUUGGUUUGUUCGACCCGGGUCGCAAUUUCCCACAGAAGAUCAUAGGGAAAGUUCAUCUCGUGGAAAAUAAGAUCAGGGGUUAGGAAACAGUCCUUUAGAAAAAGGAAUUUUCGCCGAUUUGGAAAUAUAAAAAUAGAAUGAAGUAUUCAUAGAAAGAAUUGUGAAGCUGCAUAUAAUGAGGAAUUAUGCCAGCAUAACGGUCCGUCAUUUGCUGAGUAAAUUAUGGAUUGAUUUCUACUGUAUGCUGGACAUUUUGCGCUUCUCUCUCCUCCAUAUGCACAGAGAUAUUAUUAUAAAAUCCAACUAGCGUAACUUACAAGAUAAAAUACUCGAUUAAUCUAAAAAAUGGGUCAAUUUGCAUAAACAUUUAGACUACGUUUGAUUGUUCGAAUUUCUAAUAAUGAUAGAACUGAAUAUGAUAUGAUAUGAAAUCCAGAAGAUUUUUUUAUAUCUUAUCUACUGUUUGGUGAUUAUAAUAAUAAAGUCGGAUAUAUUUACAUCAUAUUAUAUAUAUUGCUCAGUAUAAAUUCUUAUAUGAAUCACAAAUUUUUACAAACGAAAAUGGUAAAAAUUUAUCGCGACACUCUUAUCUACUUUAUUAUUAUUUUCAUUUUUAUUUUAUUUUCUUCUCUUUUUUAAUUUAUUUCUUUUGUAGUUUUUUCUUCCCCUUCCAUUAUUUUCGAAUAAACUUUUAUUAUAUAGAAAAUUGUACUAAUAUAACUAAAAUGCUAAAACGCCUAAAAUAUGUAAUAAAUAUAUAUUUAUAUAUUGAAUUUAUAUUAUAAGAUAGAAUUAAAUUCAUCUAUAGAAAUAAAAAUAAGAUUAAACUAAAAACAGUGUAUUUAGGAGUUUAUAUAUGUAUGUACGUGCUUCAAUAGCUUUAGUUGUGACUCAACCCCACCCUCCCUCUUUUAAAAUGUGUCUUUAUAGUUUGAAGUUAUGCUGGAGUUAUCUACGGAUCGUAACAAUCCAUAGUUUGAUGAAUAUACAUUGAUAACAUGCAAAAGAAAGUUCUAAUUUUUUUUCUUAAUUUAUUUAAUAAAUAUGAUUGUUCACAUUUUUGCUUAUUUUAACAAUAAAUAGAAUGGGCCUAAAUCAUAGAGUACUUAGUUUCAAUGCCAGACGCAAUACGGUAAAAUUGUUUAUAAAAAACAUGAAAGUGUAGGUAAUAAAGCAUCCAUUGGUUCCAAACGUAUUGGCUUAUUCAAAUUAAAAGUUAAAAAUGUUUCCGACGGAUUAUGUCUAGUUUAAGUUUAGAUUUAGGUUUCUCUCAAUAAAUUUAUAUCGUACUUGAGUAGUGAUCUCGUGUCGAGAACUGUAAUUUUAUUCAUAUUCAUUCUACUCCCCAUACCACACUGCAAUUUGGUUUUUCUUUUUUCCCUUUGACAUCAAUUUUAAAAUUGGGAGAGAUUAGUGAAUUUUUUUUGAAACUUUGAAAAAGUUGAAAGUUCGCAAAUCAGUAUAUUAUAUGUGUGUUUGAUAUUUAAUUGUCUUCUUACAUGAAUUCUUAAAUAUGUAAUAUUUAUAAUAUUUUAUUUUUAUGUACCGCCUAAAAAAUUGCAUUUCAACUACCCAUCGUUAUUUUUCCCUUGUGAUAAGGUCGUUCGUUUGUACCUUAAGAUUUACGUUUGAUCGUUCGAAUUUCUAAUCGGAAUAGGACUGGAUAGGAUAGGAUAUGAAAUCAUGAGAUUUUUUUAUAUUAUGUUCAUUAUUGGGUGAAUCGUAAUAUUAAAAUCGGAUAUAUGCAAAUCAUAUCAUGUACUUUUUUUUUAUAUAUAUAAAUAAAUGUUUUUUUUUUGUAACCCAGUGAAUCUCGUAAGCCGACAGCCGGCGAGAAAACCUUGGGGGACCGACUGCAAGACCCACCACCACAGUAUUCCAGAUAAGAAUCCCUAACAACGUCUCUGGAAUUCGAACUUCUCCCCUUUCAUGAGGAGGAGAGAGCCCGAGCCAGCUGUGCCACUGAGGGCGAUAGUGUAAUGUUCAUAAACGAAAAUGGAGAAAAUCUCUCGUAACACUAUUUCUUAAUUUAUUUUAAUUUUAUUUUUCCUCUUUUUAUAUUAUUUUCUUUAUUAUUUCUUUUUCCCCUUCAUCAUUCUUUAAUAAAAUUUAAUAAAAUAGUAAACUGUAGUAACAUACCUAAAAUACAAAAAUACCAAAAAUAUAUAACAAUAAUAAAUAUUUAAUUUAUAGAUUGAAUGUUUAUUAUAAGAUAAAAUUAAAGUUGAAUAUAUAAAUUAAAAAAAGAUUGAUUAAAAAAAUUAUUUUUUUAUUUUAAAUAUAUUAAAUUAGAAUUCAAAUAUUAUAUAUAUUGAAAUAUAAUUUCAAUUUUGUUAAUUUAACAAGUUUGUUAUUCGAGAAAAAUAAUUUUCUUUUUAUGAACAUUAAAGUCUCAUGCACCUUUAUCCCAUCUCCCCUAUAGAGUAAUUUUAUUCUGCCUAUAUUCCAUUUAUAUCCGACUUUAUCACGACUGCCAAAUGUAGCCUCAAAUAUAAAAUUGAGGAAGUCAUUCUUUUCAACGAAAUUGAGAAUGCGGUGGCUCGUCACAUUAACUUAAGUAAAAGUAACGAUGCCAUCUUUGCCAUUAAAUUUUCCCUUGAAAACCGAUUAGCUUGAUUAUCUUCAAAGGGAAAUGAGUUUUGUUAUGUAUUGGAAAUGGUAGCAUGGAUUUUCACUCAGCCAAAAGAAAGAAAGAAAGAAAAGCAAAAAAAGAGUAGCUAAGUGGGUUUCCCUCCCCAUAACUCCUACGAAAGAUGCAAACAGAAUAGCUUGCGCUAUGUACUGCACGAACAGUCCACAUGAAGAGAGGCAGUACAACAACACAUAGAUCAUGUUUUAAACGCAAUGACUCCAUCGUGACGUUCAGAAACUUGUGAUCGAGCUUAAUCCAUCCCUUUCGAGUGCUGGGACUUGUGCGGGGUUCUAGUUCGUACAAUUUUGCUCACUUCUGCUGAUGCAGUUUCUCUUUUCCUUUUUCUAGGAUCACUGAAUGGACAAUAUGGCAAAACUAAUAGUACACUGAUCGUGAUGGCAUCCGAGGGUACCUCCUCUUCAUGUACUCCUUUUCUUGCUUGAUGUUUUUUCCUUUUCGCCCUAUGAUUUUGUGAACAGAAAAGCACCGUAAAUUAGCUGUCAAGGCUUUAUAAUUCGCUCCCGAUGAUGAAGAACCCCGUGGCAUUCUCCCUGGGGAAAGAACACGGAGAUCAUAUUCUCCGGUUGGCCCCAGUCCCGACUCCUGUGCCUUCGUGUUCUGGCUCUCAAUGCUUGUGUAGUGGAUCUUGAUCUUGCAGGCCAAGGUCGUAAGUCCCAGCAUCGGCAACAUCACAGCUAGCCUCAUGCGGAAAUGCCGUACCCUUUACGUAUCGCAGUGGCAUACAUGGCCGCGUUCUAAUCGCCUUUUCGUUCUUCAAUAGUCAGCAAUUUAGGAAUUAGGUCGCGGGUUUCCCACUAUUGAAAUAGAAUUCACGACCAUCAAUUACACACUUCAGGUGUCUGAAAUGAGGGUAGUCUUCUGACAUCAAUCGUGGGAUUUCUGUAAACGACACCAAUCAGAUGGAGCUUUCUACUAUAAAAUAUACAAUGCACGAAUUAGCCAACAACCAUAUGAAGGAUGUGGAACUUAAGAAUGGCGGAUCAGAUAGCCUCGAUGGAGAAAGGAAAUUUAUUGCUAAUAGGGUGUCAACUCAAUCAGCCGAGGACCGCGGCUUUCGAACCAGCAAGAUCUCCAAAUUUGGCCAAAAACCUCUCAGUUCAGACCCUCAACAUCAACCGUGAAUAAAUGACCAAGAGAGUACUGCUCCACACCACUUGUAAACAGCUCAUUCUAUUCCAGAUCAGGCAAACCACAGAUGAGAUACUGCAAAUUCGAGAAAGAUUAUUCAUAUUCAACGCCGCCUUAUGGCCCUAGAAAACUACAAUAUAACAUCAUAAACAGAGACGACACUCUGAUUACAGUCACGUAAACACCUACAUUUCUUAUAUGCCUCAUUACCGAAAGAACUCCGAAAUUACACUUGCUCACCGGACGCAAACAUUACCGGACACGAGCGAUCAUUCUUGAAAUUACAAGAAGCUUAAAUCAACCAGAGAUCUCAAUAGCCUUGACCUCAGGCUUCUUCUCCUCCACCUUCGGAACAGUGACGGUGAGCACUCCAUUCUCCAUCGAGGCCUUCACCUGAUCCAACCUCGCAUUCUCGGGCAACCUGAACCUCCGCAUGAACUUGCCGCUGCUUCUCUCCACCCGGUGCCACGUAUCGUUCUUAUCCUCCUUCUCCACGUUCCUCUCGCCGCUUAUUUGGAUCACCCGAUCGUCUUCGAUCUCCACCUUGACUUCCUCUUUCUUGAGCCCAGGGAGAUCCGCCUUGAACACAUGGGCUUCUGGGGUCUCCUUCCAGUCGAUCCUCGUGUUCACAAAAGCAGUGUUUUCCCGGAAAGUUUGAGGGAAAUUAGAGGCGACGAGGGAAGAGGAAGGCAAAGGGAAGUCCUUGAAGGGAUCCCAGAGGUCAAGGGAGAAGGGGUCGAAGACGUUGCUGCGACGGCCGCCGAACCAGCUUGGGAUGAGCGACAUUGUACCCUCCUGCUGCUGCUGCGGUUAGAUGAUUCAAGGACGUUUGGCGAUUGAUUGUUGUAAUGAUGCCCCGGCUUGCAAAUGCUCCCCUUUUCUUGAGUGUCGAAGGAAGAUCGGAGAUGCCUGGUAUUUAAAGAAGAGAAGAACAGCUAAGGAUCGAAAAAUUGAAGUUUCUGUAAAAGAUUGCAGAAGCAUCUGGUCUCGCCCAGAGCUCUCUCGAAACCGGGCCUUGCUCUCCCGAAACUUCUGGUCUGUAAGUCUUGAGAUGUCUCGAGACAGGCCCAUAACUAUUGCUUGACCGGGUUGGACGAUGAUUAACCCAAUUAUCAGAAGCAACUGGAGCUAAAUUUCCAUGUCAGUCUCAUUAUAGUAUUUUAAUUAUGAAAUAAAAAAGAAUCAAAAAAUUAUAUGUGUGGUUGAUAUUUAAUUGACUACAUUCAUAAAAUUCUUUAAUAUAAUAUAUAAACAAAUAUAUAUAUAUAUAUCAAUAUAUAUAUAUAUAUAUCAAUAUCUAUUAAAGGUAUACAAAAGAAUUGGGAACCGUCCAAACUAUCUAGAACCGAAUUGGACCUGAUUGAAACUAGCGAUUCCCAAGGAAACUAAUAUAGUUUUUUGUUCUAAUUUAUUGGAAUCGGUGGAUAUCGAUUAGGUUCUCGAUUUUAAGUGUGGAAUCGUCCACUCGCCUACUCAAAUCGAAUCAGUAAUAUAGAAAUAUAUAUUUAAUUUUUUUUAAAAAAAUUCUGACAAAUUAUUUAAGAAAAAAAAAACCAUAAAAUCCCUAAUCUAAAGAUUAAUACCUAUUAACUAAGUGCUCAUCUCGUCUCACUCUCACCUCUUUUGAGCCGUCUUUCUAUCUCUCACUCAUGGCCUUGACUCUUAAUUUUUAAUAUAAGUCCAAUUUUUUUUAUUGAUCUUGCAAUUAAGAAUAAGAAAGUUCUUUAUUUUUUUGCUUUACUUUGACUUGUUGGAAAAUGUUGCACCAAAUGUAUGAAGCUUGUUUGGAACCCACCCAAGAACCAAAUCGGACCGAUGGUCCGAUUCUCUAUUUUAAUUUUUCAAAAUCGAUUUUUAGUGGGUAACUCCCGAUUGUAGGGGGAAAAUAGGAAAAUUAUCAAAAAAGUCUCAAACAUAUUGCAAUUAUAUUGAUUCAAUCACAAACAUAUUAUUUUGGUCAAUUGAAUCCUAAACCUUUUGCAAUUAUGUCAAUUCGAUUUUCUUUUACCAAAUUUGGUUGAUUGGCUUCGAUGAACAAUUUUUUAAUCUUUUCUUAUUUCUUACCCUUUCCUUUCUCUCUCUCUCUCUCUCUCUCUCUCUCUCUCUCUCUCUCUCUCUCUCUUCCUCCCCCUUCUUCCUCCUUCCAACGACCUGCCAAAUGGGAGCGCCGAUUGAGACAAUUAGCUAGUGGUGAACUCACCUCUUUGUCGUUGGGUGAGGAUGAGCUCGCCUAACUAGGCCCUCACUGGAUCUAACUAGGCCCUCACCGGAUCUAGUGAGGGUGAGCUCGCCCAGUGACUAGAGAAGGCGAGCCUUGCUAGAUUUAGUGAGAGUGAGCCUCGCCAAUAGAUCGACAAACUUGACCUCAUUGUCGUCAAGCUAGGGCAAACUCGCCCAACCACUGGGGAGGGUGAUCUGGUCAAAGACAAGCUCGCCAAUGGAUCUCCUCUGGAAUUUUGCUCGNNNNNNNNNNNNNNNNNNNNNNNNNNNNNNNNNNNNNNNNNNNNNNNNNNNNNNNNNNNNNNNNNNNNNNNNNNNNNNNNNNNNNNNNNNNNNNNNNNNNGCGUCCAUCAAUUACACGGUUUAGCUUAGUAGAGAAUGUGCGGUAAACGUCUGAGGUUGGUCGUGGGAUUUUGUAAACCACACCAAUCAAAUGCACCGUUGCUACGAUGAAAUCUGCAUUGCAUGACAUAUCUAACAACCAUAUGAGAUAGCCCUCCAGAGGAAGUUUUUUCAUUGCAACUAGUGUCAACUAAAUUAGCAGAGCAGCAGCUUUCGAACAAACAGUGAUCUUCAAAUUUGGCUAAAGGCCCUUACAACAACUGAAAAUCGAUGACUAACACGGUACUGCUCCGGUACCAAGUGUUAUAUAUAGCUCAGGGCAACCCAGAGAUGGAAAACUGCAAAACCCAUCAAAGUUAUUCAUAUUCAAGCGCCACACUGGCGCUUGAUUACAGAGAUGAUUACAGCGACACACAACAGCUUCUUACAUGACACAUUAACGAAAGAAAACAAUCCAAAAUUGUAGUUUUUCACGAAAAUCUGAACAUCAUUGGACAGAGAACUGCUCAUUCCUGCAACCACAAAGAAGCUGGAUUCAACCAGAGAUCUCAAUGGCCUUGACCUCAGGCUUCUUCUCCUCCACCUUGGGAAUAGUGAUGGUGAGCACCCCGUUCUCCAUCGAGGCCUUCACCUGAUCCAUCUUCGCAUUCUCGGGCAGCCUGAACCUCCUCAUGAACUUCCCGCUGCUUCUCUCCACCCGGUGCCAGGUGUCGUUCUUGUCCUCCUUCUCCACGUUCCUCUCGCCGCUUAUCUGGACCACCCGAUCGUCUUCAAUUUCGACCUUGACUUCCUCCUUCUUGAGCCCGGGAAGAUCAGCCUUGAACACGUGGGCUUCCGGGGUCUCCUUCCAGUCGAUCCUCGUGUUGACAAAAGCGGUGUUCUCCCGGAAAGUUUGAGGGAAAUUAGAGGCGGAGAGGGAGGAGGAAGGGAAAGGGAAGUCCUUGAAGGGGUCCCAGAGGUCGAGCGAGAAGGGGUCGUAGACGUUGCUGCGACGGCCGCCGAACCAACUUGGGAUGAGCGACAUCGUACCUGCUUCUGCUGCAGCUAUUAGAUGAUUCAAAUACGUUUGGUGAUUGAUCGUCGGACUGGCGCUCUCUCUUGCUGAUGCUUUCGCUUUCUUGAAGCGUGGAGGAAGGAACGGACAUGCCCGGUAUUUAUAGGAGGGAAGAAGAGAUAAGGAUCGAACGAUGGAAGUUUCGGUUAAAGAUAGAGAGAGAUCUAGAAAGAUCUGGUCUCGCCAAGAUAGAUCUCUCUCGAAACUGGGCCAUCCUCUCGUGAAACUUCUGGUCUUGGAAGUGUUGAGAUGUCUCGAGACAGGCCCAUAACUAUUGUUUGACCGGCUUGGUUUGUUCGACCCGGGUCGCAAUUUCCCACGGAAGACCAUAGGGAAAGUUCAUCUCGUGGNNNNNNNNNNNNNNNNNNNNNNNNNNNNNNNNNNNNNNNNNNNNNNNNNNNNNNNNNNNNNNNNNNNNNNNNNNNNNNNNNNNNNNNNNNNNNNNNNNNNAAAAUAGAAUGAAGUAUUCAUAGAAAGAAUUGUGAAGCUGCAUAUAAUGAGGAAUUAUGCCAGCAUAACAGUCUGUCAUUUACUGAGUAAAUUAUGGAUUGAUUUCUAUUGUAUGCUGGACAUUUUGCGCUUCUCUCUCCUCCAUAUGCACAGAGAGAUUAUUAUAAAAUCCAACUAGCGUAACUUACAAGAUAAAAUAUUCGAUUAAUCUAAAAAAUGGGUCAAUUUGCAUAAACAUUUAGACAACGUUUGAUUGUUCGAAUUUCUAACAAUAAUAAAACUGUAUAUGAUAUGAUAUGAAAUCCAUGAGAUUUUGUUAUAUCUUAUCCAUUAUUUGGUGAUUACAAUAAUAAAGUCGGAUAUAUUUACAUCAUAUUAUAUAUAUUGCUCAGUAUAAAUUCUUAUAUGAAUCACAAAUUUUUACAAACGAUAAUGGUAAAAAUCUAUCACGACACUCUUAUCUACUUUAUUCUUAUUUUCAUUUUUAUUUUAUUUUCUUCUCUUUUUUUAAUUUAUUUCUUUUUUAGUUCUUUCUUCCCCUUCCAUUAUUUUCGAAUAAACUUUUAUUAUAUAGAAAAUUGUACUAAUAUAACUAAUAUGCUAAAACGCCUAAAAUAUGUAAUAAAUAUAUAUUUAUAUAUUGAAUUUAUAUUAUAAGAUAGAAUAAAUUCAUCUUGAGAAAUAAAAAUAAGAUUAAACUAAAAACAAUGUAUUUAGGAGUUUAUGUAUGUAUGUACGUGCUUCAAUAGCUUUAGUUGCGACUCAACCCCACCCUCCCUCUUUUAAAAUGUGUCUUUAUAGUUUGAAGUUAUGCUGGAGUUAUCUACGGACGUAACAAUCCAUAGUUUGAUGAAUAUACAUUGAUAACAUGCAAAAGAAAGUUCUAAUUUUUUUUCUUAAUUUAUUUAAUAAAUAUGAUUGUUCACAUUUUUGCUUAUUUUAACAAUAAAUAGAAUGGGCCUAAAUCAUAGAGUACUUAGUUUCAAUGCCAGAUGCAAUACGGUAAAAUUGUUUAUAAAAAACAUGAAAGUGUAGGUAUAAAGCAUCCAUUGGUCCCAAACGUAUUGGCUUAUUCAAAUUAAAAGUUAAAAAUGUUUCCGACGGAUUAUGUUUAGUUUAAGUUUAGAUUUAGGUUUCUCUCAUAAAUUUAUAUCGUACUUGAGUAGUGAUCUCGUGUCAAGAACNNNNNNNNNNNNNNNNNNNNNNNNNNNNNNNNNNNNNNNNNNNNNNNNNNNNNNNNNNNNNNNNNNNNNNNNNNNNNNNNNNNNNNNNNNNNNNNNNNNNUAUCACACAGCAAUUUGGUUUUUCUUUUUUCCCUUUGACAUCAAUUUUAAAAUUGGGAGAGAUUAGUGAAUUUUUUUUUAAACUUUGAAAAAGUUGAAAGUUCGCAAAUCAGUAUAUUAUAUGUGUGUUUGAUAUUUAAUUGUCUUCUUACAUGAAUUCUUAAAUAUGUAAUAUUUAUACUAUUUUAUUUUUAUGUACCACCUAAAAAAUUGCAAUUCAACUACCCAUCGUUUAUUUUUCCCUUGUGAUAAGGUCGUUUGUUUGUACCUUAAGGUUACGUUUGGUCGUCCGAAUUUCUAAUCGGAAUAGGACUGGAUAUGAUAGGAUAUGAAAUCAUGAGAUUUUUUUUAUAUCAUAUUCAUUAUUUGAUUAAUCGUAGCAUUAAAGUGGGAUAUAUUCAUAUCAUAUCAUGUACUUUUUUUUAUAUAUAAAUAGUAUAUCAUUAUGAACAUAAAUGUUUUUUUUUUUUUGGUAACUUAGGGAACACCGUAAGCCGACAGCUGGCGAGAAAACCUUGAGGACCGGUUGCAAGACCCACCACCACAGUACUCCAGAUAAGAAUCUCUAACGACGCCUCUGUGAUUCGAACUUUUCCCAUUCGUGAGGGGGAGAGAGCCCGAGCCAGUUGUGCCACUGAUGGCGAUGGUAUUAUGAACAUUAUGUUCAUAAACGGAAAUGGUGAAAAUCUCUCGUAACACUAUUUCUUAAUUUAUUUUUCCUCUUUUUUAUAUUAUUUUCUUUAUUAUUUCUUUUUCCCCUUUCAUCAUUCUUAAUAAAAUAGUAAACUGUACUAACAUACCUAAAAUACCAAAAAUAUAUAACAAUAAUAAAUAUUUAAUUUAUAGAUUGAAUGUUUAUUAUAAGAUAAAAUUAAAGUUGAAUAUAUAAAUUAAAAAAGAUUGAUUAAAAAUAAAUUUUUAUUUUUUAUUUUAAAUAUAUUAAAUUAGAAUUCAAAUAUUAUAUAUAUUGAAAUAUAAUUUCAAUUUUGUUAAUUUAAUAAGUUUAUUAUUCGAGAAAAAUAAUUUUCCUAUUAUGGACAUUAAAAUCUCAUCCAUCUUUGUCCCACCUCCUCCGUGAAGUAAUUUUAUUCUGCAUAUAUCCCAUUUAUAUCCGACUUUAUCACGACUGCCAAAUGCAGCCUCAAAUAUAAAAUUGAGGAAGUUAUUCUUUUCAACGAAAUUGAGAAUGCGAUGGCUCGUCACAUUAACUGAAGUAAAAGUAAUGAUGCCAUCUUUGCCAUUAAAUUUUCCCUUGAAAACUGAUUAACUUGAUUAUCUUCAAAGGGAAAUGAGUUUUGUUAUGUAUUGGAAAUGGCAGCAUGGAUUUUCACUCAGCCGAAAGAAAGAAAGGAAAGAAAAGCAAAAAAAGAGUAGCUAAGUGGGUUUCCCUCCCCAUAACUCCUACAAAAGAUGCAGACAGAAUAGCUUGAGCUAUGUACUGCACGAACAGUCCACAUUAAGAGAGGCGGUACAACUACACAGAGAUCAUGUUUUAAACGCAAUGACUCCAUCAUGACGUUCAGAAACUUGUCAUCGAGCUUAAUCCAUCCCUUUCGAGUGCUGGGACUUGUGCGUGGUUCUGGUUCGUACAAUUUUGCCCACUUCUGCUGAUGCAGUUUCUCUUUUCCUUUUUCUAGAAUGGACAAUAUGGCAAAACUAAUAGUACACUGAUCGUGAUGGCACUCGAGGGUACCUCCUCUUCAUGUACUCCUUUUCUUGCUUGAUGUUUUUUCCUUUUCGCCCUAUGAUUUUGUGAACAGAAAAGCACCGUAAAUUAGCUGUCAAGGCUUUAUAAUUCGCUCCCGAUGAUGAAGAACCCCGUGGCAUUCUCCCUGGGGAAAGAGCACAGAUAUCAUAUUCUCCGGUUGGCCCCAGUCCGGACUCCUGCGCCUUCGUGUUCUGGCUCUCAAUGCUUGUGUAGUGGAUCUUGCACGCCAAGGUCGCAAGACCCAGAAUCAGCAACAUCACAGCCAGCCUCAUGUGGAAAUGCCGUACCCUUUUCGUACCGCAGUGGCAUACAUGGCCGCGUUCUAAUCGCCUUUUCGUUCUUCAAUAGUCAGCAAUUUAGGAUUAGGUCGCGGUUUCCCACUGUUGAAAUUGAAUUCACGACCAUCAAUUACNNNNNNNNNNNNNNNNNNNNNNNNNNNNNNNNNNNNNNNNNNNNNNNNNNNNNNNNNNNNNNNNNNNNNNNNNNNNNNNNNNNNNNNNNNNNNNNNNNNNNNNNNNNNNNNNNNNNNNNNNNNNNNNNNNNNNNNNNNNNNNNNNNNNNNNNNNNNNNNNNNNNNNNNNNNNNNNNNNNNNNNNNNNNNNNNNNNNNNNNNNNNNNNNNNNNNNNNNNNNNNNNNNNNNNNNNNNNNNNNNNNNNNNNNNNNNNNNNNNNNNNNNNNNNNNNNNNNNNNNNNNNNNNNNNNNNNNNNNNNNNNNNNNNNNNNNNNNNNNNNNNNNNNNNNNNNNNNNNCUCAUCUAUUCCUGAUCGGGCAAACCACAGAUUAGAUACUGCAAAACUCGAAACAGAUUAAUAGAUUAUUCAUAUUCAACGCCCGCCUUAUGGCCCGAGAAAACUACAAUAUAACAUCAUAAACAGAGAUGACACUUGGAUUACACAGUCACACAAACACCUACAAUUUCUUAUAUGACUCAUUACAGAAAGAACUCCAAAAUUACACUUAUUCACCGGACGCAAACAUUACCGGACACAAGAGCGAUCAUUCUUGAAAUUACAAGAAGCUUAAUUCAACCAGAGAUCUCAAUAGCCUUGACCUCAGGCUUCUUCUCCUCCACCUUCGGAACACUGACGGUGAGCACUCCAUUCUCCAUCGAGGCCUUCACCUGAUCCAACCUCGCAUUCUCGGGCAACCUGAACCUCCUCAUGAACUUGCCGCUGCUUCUCUCCACCCGGUGCCACGUAUCGUUCUUGUCCUCCUUCUCCACGUUCCUCUCGCCGCUUAUCUGGAGCACCCGAUCGUCUUCGAUCUGCACCUUGACUUCCUCUUUCUUGAGCCCAGGGAGAUCCGCCUUGAACACAUGGGCUUCUGGGGUCUCCUUCCAGUCGAUCCUCGUGUUCACAAAAGCAGUGUUUUCCCGGAAAGUUUGAGGGAAAUUAGAGGCGACGAGGGAAGAGGAAGGCAAAGGGAAGUCCUUGAAGGGAUCCCAGAGGUCAAGGGAGAAGGGGUCGAAGACGUUGCUGCGACGGCCGCCGAACCAGCUUGGGAUGAGCGACAUUGUACCCUCCUGCUGCUGCUGCUGCUGCUGCUGCUGCUGCUGUUAGAUGAUUCAAGGACGUUUGGCGGUUGAUUGUUGUAAUGAUGCCCUCGCUUGCAAAUGCUCCUCUUUUCUUGAGUGACGAUGGAAGAUCGGAGAUGCCUGGUAUUUAAAGGUGAGAAGAACAGCUAAGGAUUGAAAAAUGGAAGUUUCUGUAAAAGAUUGCAGAAGCAUCUGGUCUCGCCCAGAGCUCUCUCGAAACCGGGCCUUGCUCUCCCGAAACUUCUGGUCUGUAAGUCUUGAGAUGUCUCGAGACAGGCCCAUAACUAUUGCUUGACCGGGUUGGACGAUGAUUAACCCAAUUAUCAGAAGCAACUGGAGCUAAAUUUCCAUGUCAGUCUCAUUAUAGUAUUUUAAAUAUGAAAUAAAAAAGAAUCAAAAAAUUAUAUGUGUGGUUGAUAUUUAAUUGACUUCCUUCAUAAAAUUAUUUAAUAUAAUAUAUAAAUAUAUAUAUAUAUAUAUAUAUAUAUCAAUAUCUAUUAAAGGUAUACAAAAGAAUCGGGAACCGUCCAAACUAUCCAGAACCGAAUUGGACCGGAUUGAAACUAGCGAUUCCCAAGGGAACUAAUAUAGUUUUUUGUUCUAAUUUAUUGGAAUUGGUGGAUAUCGAUUGGGUUCUCGAUUUUAAGUGUAGAAUCGUCCACCCGCCUACUCAAAUCGAAUCAGUAAUAUAGAAAUAUAUAUUUAAUUUUUAAGAAAAAUUUCUAACAAAUUAUUUAAGAAAAAUAAAAACCAUAAAAUCCCUAAUCUAAAGAUUAAUACCUAUUAACUAAGUGCUCAUCUCGUCUCACUCUCACCUCUUUUGAGUCGUCUUUCUAUCUCUCACUCAUGGCCUUGACUCUUAAUUUUUAAUAUAAGUCCAUUUUUUUUUUAUUCAUCUUGCAAUUAAGAAUAAGAAAGUUCUUUAUUUUUUGCUUAAAUUUGACUUGUUGGAAAAUGUUGCACCAACUGUGUGAAGCUUGUUUGGAACCCACCCGAGAACCAGAUCGGACCGAUGGUCCGAUUCUCUAUUUUAAUUUUUCAAAAUCGAUUUUUAGUGGGUAACUCCCGAUUCUAGGGGGAAAAUAAGAAAAUUAUCAAAAAAGUCUCAAACAUAUUGCAAUUAUAUUGAUUCAAUCACAAACUUAUUAUUUUGGUUAAUUGAAUCCUAAACUUUUUGCAAUUAUGUCAAUUCGAUUUUCUUUUACCAAAUUUGGUUGACUGGCUUUGAUGAACAAUUUUUUAAUUGUUUCUUCUUUCUUACCCUUUCUUUUUUUCUCUCUCUUUUUUUCUUCCUCCCCUUUCUUCCUCCUUUCGAUGACCUACCAAAUAGGAGCACCGAUUGAGGCACUACCUUUCUUCCUCCUUUCGAUGACCUACCAAAUAGGAGCACCGAUUGAGGCAACUAGCUAGUGGUGAACUCACCUCUCUGUUGUUGGGUGAGGGUGAGCUCGCCUAACUAGGCCCUCACUAGAUCUAGUGAGGGUGAGCUCGCCCAGUGACUAGGGAAGGCGAGCCUUGCUAGAUUUAGCGAGAGUGAGCCUCGCCAAUGGAUCGACAAGCUUGACCUCAUUGUCAUCAGGCUAGGGCAAACUCGCCCAACCACUGGGGAUCACCCUCUGGUCAAAGACGAGCUCGCCAAUGGAUCUGCUAGUGGAUUCUUGCUCUUCACUAGUUGGGGCUUUCGGAAAAAGUUGAAUGGAAUGGAUUAUCAGGACCCAUCCGAUUCCCCUCCCCUGAACUCCUGAUAACACCUGAUGGUUAUUAGAAUUGAACCCGCAGCCAUCAAUUACACGGUUUAGCUUAGUAGAGAAUGUGCGAGUGUUUGAAUGUGCGGUAAACGUCUGAGGUUGGUCGUGGGAUUUUGUAAACCACACCAAUCAAAUGCACCGUUGCUACAAUGAAAUCUGCAUUGCAUGACAUAUCCAACAACCAUAUGAGAUAGCCCUCCAGAGGAAGUUUGUUCAUUGCAACUAGUAUCAACUAAAUUAGAGCAGCAGCUUUCGAACAAACAGUGAUCUUCAGAUUUGGCUAAAGGCCAUUUCAGUAGAGACUCAACAACGACUGAAAAUCGAUGACUAACACGGUACUGCUCCGGUACCAUGUGUUAUAUAGCUCAAUCGAAUCCAGAACGGGGCAACCCAGAGAUGGAAUACUACAAAACCAUCAAAGUUAUUUAUAUUCAAGCGCCACACUAUGGCGCUUGAUUACAAAGAUGACACAUUGAUUACAGCGACACACAAGCUUCUUGCAUGACACAUUAACAAAAGAAAACAAUCCAAAAUUAUAGUUUUUCACGAAAAUCUGAACAUCAUUGGACAAAGAACCGCUCAUUCCUGCAACCACAAAGAAGCUGAAUUCAACCAGAGAUCUCAAUGGCCUUGACCUCAGGCUUCUUCUCCUCCACCUUGGGAACAGUGACGGUGAGUACCCCGUUCUCCAUCGAGGCCUUCACCUGAUCCAUCUUCGCAUUCUCGGGCAGCCUGAACCUCCUCAUGAACUUCCCGCUGCUUCUCUCCACCCGGUGCCAAGUGUCGUUCUUGUCCUCCUUCUCCACGUUCCUCUCGCCGCUUAUCUGGAGAACCCGAUCGUCUUCAAUUUCGACCUUGACUUCCUCCUUCUUGAGCCCGGGAAGAUCAGCCUUGAACACGUGGGCUUCCGGGGUCUCCUUCCAGUCGAUCCUCGUGUUGACAAAAGCGGUGUUCUCCCGGAAAGUUUGAGGGAAAUUAAAGGCGAAGAGGGAGGAGGAAGGGAAAGGGAAGUCCUUGAAGGGGUCCCAGAGGUCGAGAGAGAAGGGGUCGUAGACGUUGCUGCGACGGCCGCCGAACCAGCUUGGGAUGAGCGACAUCGUACCUGCUUCUGCUGCAGCUGUUAGAUGAUUCAAAGACGUUUGGUGAUUGAUCGUCGGACUGGCGCUCUCUCUUGCUGAUGCUUUCGUUUUCUUGAAGCGUGGAGGUAGGAACGGACAUGCCCGGUAUUUAUAGGAGGGAAGAAGAGAUAAGGAUCGAGCGAUGGAAGUUUCGGUUAAAGAUAGAGAGAGAUCUAGAAAGAUCUGGUCUCGCCAAGAUAGAUCUGUCUCGAAACUGGGCCAUCCUCUCGUGAAACUUCUGGUCUUGGAAGUGUGGAGAUGUCUCGAGACAGGCCCAUAACUAUUUUUUGACCGGCUUGGUUUGUUCGACCCGGGUCGCAAUUUCCCACGGAAGACCAUAGGGAAAGUUCAUCUCGUGGAAAAGAAGAUCAGGGGUUAGGAAACAGUCGUUUAGAAAAAGGAAUUUUCGCCGAUUUGGAAAUAUAAAAAUAGAAUGAAGUAUUCAUAGAAAGAAUUGUGAAGCUGUAUAUAAUGAGGAAUUAUGCCAGCAUAACGGUCCGUCAUUUACUGAGUAAAUUAUGGAUUGAUUUUUACUGUAUGCUGGACAUUUUGCGCUUCUCUCUCCUCCAUAUGCACAAAGAGAUUAUUAUAAAAUCCAACUAGCGUAACUUACAAGAUAAAAUACUUGAUUAAUCUAAAAAAUGGGUCAAAUUGCAUAAACAUUUAGAUUACGUUUGAUUGUUCGAAUUUCUAACAAUGAUAGAACUGGAUAUGAUAUGAUAUGAAAUCCAGAAAAUUUUGUUAUCUCUUAUCUACUGUUUGGUGAUUGUAAUAAUAAAGUCGGAUAUAUUUACAUCAUAUUAUAUAUAUUGCUCAGUAUAAAUUCUUAUAUGAAUCACAAAUUUUUACAAACGAAAAUGGUAAAAAUCUAUCGCGACACUCUUAUCUACUUUAUUCUUAUUUUCAUUUUUAUUUUAUUUGGUUCUCUUUUUUAAUUUAUUUCUUUUGUAGUUCUUUCUUCCCCUUCCAUUAUUUUCGAAUAAACUUUUAUUAUAUAAAAAAUUGUACUAAUAUAUCUAAAAUGCUAAAACGCCUAAAAUAUGUAAUAAAUAUAUAUUUAUAUAUUGAAUUUAUAUUAUAAGAUAGAAUUAAAUUCGUUUAUAGAAAUAAAAAUAAGAUUAAACUAAAAACAGUGUAUUUAGGAGUUUAUAUAUGUAUGUACGUGCUUCAAUAGCUUUAGUUGCGACUCAACCCCACCCUCCCUCUUUUAAAAUGUGUCUUUAUAGUUUGAAGUUAUGCUGGAGUUAUCUACGGACGUAACAAUCCAUAGUUUGAUGAAUAUACAUUGAUAACAUGCAAAAGAAAGUUCUAAUUUUUUUUCUUAAUUUAUUUAAUAAAUAUGAUUGUUCACAUUUUUGCUUAUUUUAACAAUAAAUAGAAUGGGCCUAAAUCAUAGAGUACUUAGUUUCAAUGGCAGACGGAAUACGGUAAAAUUGUUAAUAAAAAACAUGAAAGUGUAGGUAAUAAAGCAUCCAUUGGUCCCAAACGUACUGGCUUAUUCAAAUUAAAAGUUAAAAAUGGCUCCGACGGAUUAUGUUUAGUUUAAGUUUAGAUUCAAGUUUCUCUGAAUGAAUUUAUAUCGUACUGGAGUACUGAUCUCGUGUCAAGAACUGUUAUUUUACUCAUAUUCAUUCUACUCCCCAUAUCACACUGCAAUUUGGUUUUUCUUUUUUCCCUUUGACAUCAAUUUUAAAACUGGGAGAGAUUAGUGAAUUUUUUUUGAAACUUUGAAAAAGUUGAAAGUCCGCAAAUCAGUAUAUUACAUAUGUGUUUGAUAUUUAAUUGUCUUCUUACACGAAUUCUUAAAUAUGUAAUAUUUAUAAUAUUUUAUUUUUAUGUACCACCUAAAAAAUUUGCAGUUCAACUAGCCAUCGUUUAUUUUUCCCUUGUGAUAAGAUUGUUCGUUUGUAUCUUUAGGUUACAUUUGGUCGUCCUAAUUUCUAAUUUGAAUAGGACCGAAUAAGAUAGGAUAUGUUCCUUACCAAAAAAAUAAGAUAGGAUAUGAAAUCAUGAGAUUUUUUUAUAUCUUGUCCAUUGUUUGGUGAAUCGUAGUAUUAAAGUCAAGUAUAUUCACAUCAUAUCAUAUUAUAUAUAUAUAAACGGCAUAUCAUUAUAAAUGAACAUAAAUGUUCAUUAACAGAAAUAGUGAAAAUCUCUCGUAACACUAUUUCUUAAUUUAUUUUUAUUUUAUUUUUCCUCUUUUUUAUAUUAUUUUCUUUAUUAUUUCUUUUUCCCCUUUCAUCAUUCUUUAAUAAAAUUUAAUAAAAUAGUAAACUGUACUAACAUACCUAAAAUACAAAAAUACCAAAAAUAUAUAACAAUAAUAAAUAUUUAAUUUAUAAAUUGAAUGUUUAUUAUAAGAUAAAAUUAAAGUUGAAUAUAUAAAUUAAAAAAGAUUGAUUAAAAAUAGAAUUCACGACGAUCAAUUACACAUCAGAUGGACCUUUCUACUAUAAAUUAUACAAUGCACGACUUAGCCACCAACCAUAUGAGUGAAGUGGAACUUAAGAAUGGCGGAUCAGAUAGCCUCAAUGGAGAAGGCAAAUUUUGUUGAUUGCUAAUAGGGUGUCAACUCAAUCAGCCGACGACCGCAGCUUUCGAACCCACAUGAUAACCAAAUUUGGCCAAAACCCUCUCAGUUCAGACCCUCAACAUCAACCGUGAAUGAAUGACCAAGAGGGUACUGCUCCACACCACUUGUAAACAGCUCAAUCUAUUCCAGAUCAGGCAAAUCACAGAUGAGAUACUGCAAAAUUCGAGAAAGAUUAUUCAUAUUCAACGCCGCCUUAUGGCCCGAGAAAACUACAAUAUAACAUCAUAAACAGAGAUGACACUCUGAUUACACAGUCACAUAAACACCUACAAUUUCUUAUAUGACUCAUUACCGAAAGAACUCCGAAAUAACACUUGUUCACCGGACGCAAACAUUACCGGACACAAGAGCGAUCAUUCUUGAAAUUACAAGAAGCUUAAAUCAACCAGAGAUCUCAAUAGCCUUGACCUCAGGCUUCUUCUCCUCCACCUUCGGAACACUGACGGUGAGCACUCCAUUCUCCAUCGAGGCCUUCACCUGAUCCAACCUCGCAUUCUCGGGCAACCUGAACCUCCUCAUGAACUUGCCGCUGCUUCUCUCCACCCGGUGCCACGUAUCGUUCUUAUCCUCCUUCUCCACGUUCCUCUCGCCGCUUAUUUGGAUCACCCGAUCGUCUUCGAUCUCCACCUUGACUUCCUCUUUCUUGAGCCCAGGGAGAUCCGCCUUGAACACAUGGGCUUCUGGGGUCUCCUUCCAGUCGAUCCUCGUGUUCACAAAAGCAGUGUUUUCCCGGAAAGUUUGAGGGAAAUUAGAGGCGACGAGGGAAGAGGAAGGCAAAGUGAAGUCCUUGAAGGGAUCCCAGAGGUCAAGGGAGAAGGGGUCGAAGACGUUGCUGCGACGGCCGCCGAACCAGCUUGGGAUGAGCGACAUUGUACCCUCCUGCUGCUGCUGCUGCUGUUAGAUGAUUCAAGGACGUUUGGCGAUUGAUUGUUGUAAUGAUGCCCCGGCUUACAAAUGCUCCCCUUUUCUUGAGUGACGAAGGAUGAUUGGAGAUGCCUGGUAUUUAAAGAAGAGAAGAACAGCUAAGGAUCGAAAAAUGGAAGUUUCUGUAAAAGAUUGCAGAAGCAUCUGGUCUCGCCCAGAGCUCUCUCGAAACCGGGCCUUGCUCUCCCGAAACUUCUGGUCUGUAAGUCUGGAGAUGUCUCGAGACAGGCCCAUAACUAUUGCUUGACCGGGUUGGACGAUGAUUAACCCCAAUUAUCAGAAGCAACUGGAGCUAAAUUUCCAUGUAAGUCUCAUUAUAGUAUUUUAAUUAUGAAAUAAAAUAGAAUAAAAAAAUUAUAUGUGUGGUUGAUAUUUAAUUGACUUCAUUCAUAAAAUUCUUUAAUAUAAUAUAUAAACAAAUAUAUAAAUAUAUAUAUAUCAAUAUCUAUUAAAGGUAUACAAAAGAAUCGGGAACCGUCCAAACUAUCCAGAACCGAAUUGGACCGGAUUAAAACUAGCGAUUCCCAAGGGAACUAAUAUAGUUUUUUGUUCUAAUUUAUUGGAAUCGGUGGAUAUCGAUUGGGUUCUCGAUUUUAAGUGUAGAAUCGUCCACUCGCCUACUCAAAUCGAAUUAGUAAUAUAGAAAUAUAUAUUUAAUUUUUAAGAAAAAUUUCUGACAAAUUAUUUAAGAAAAAUAAAAACCAUAAAAUCCCUAAUCUAAAGAUUAAUACCUAUUAACUAAGUGCUCAUCUCGUCUCACUCUCACCUCUUUUGAGUCAUCUUUCUAUCUUUCACUCAUGUCCUUGACUCUUAAUUUUUAAUAUAAGUCCAAUUUUUUUUAUUGAUCUUGCAAUUAAGAAUAAGAAAGUUCUUUAUUUUUUUGCCUUACUUUGACUUGUUGGAAAAUGUUGCACCAAAUGUGUGAAGCUUGUUUGGAACCCACCCAAGAACUAGAUCGGACCAAUGGUCCAAUUCUCUAUUCUAAUUUUUCAAAAUCGAUUUUUAGUGGGUAACUCCCGAUUCUAGGGGGAAAAUGGGAAAAUUAUCCAAAAAGUCUCAAACAUAUUGCAAUUAUAUUGAUUCAAUCACAAACUUAUUAUUUUGGUCAAUUGAAUCAUAAACCUUUUAUAAUUAUGUCAAUUGGAUUUUCUUUUACCAAAUUUGGUUGAUUGGCUUCGAUGAACAAUUUUUUAAUCUUUUCUUCUUUCUUAUCCUUUCUUUUUUUUCUCUCUCUUUGUUUCUUCCUCCUCCUUCUUCCUCCUUCCGACGACCUGCCAAAUGGGACGCCGAUUGAGGCAACUAGCGUGGUGAACUCACCUCUCUGUCGUUGGGUGAGGGUGAGCUCGCCUAACUAGGCCCUCGCUGGAUCUAGUGAGGGUGAGCUCGCCCAGUGAUUAGGGAAGGCAAGCCUUGGUAGAUUUAGCAAGAGUGAGCCUCGCCAAUGGAUCGACAAGCUUGACCUCAUUGUCGUCAGGCUAGGACAAACUCGCCCAACCACUGGGGAGGGUGAUCUGGUCAAAGACGAGCUCGCCAAUGGAUCUGCUGGUGGAUUCUUGCUCUUCACUAGUUGGGGCUUUAGGAAAAAGUUGCAUGGGAUGGAUUAUCAGGACCCAUCCGAUUCCCCUCCCCUGAACUCCUGAUGGUUACUAGAAUUGAACCCGCCUCCAUCAAUUACACGGUUUAGCUUAGUAGAGAAUGUGCGAGUGUUUGAAUGUGCGGUAAACGUCUGAGGUUGGUCGUGGGAUUUUGUAAACCACACCAAUCAAAUGCACCGUUGCUACAAUGAAAUCUGCAUUGCAUGACAUAUCCAACAACCAUAUGAGAUAGCCCUCCAGAGGAAGUUUUUUCAUUGCAACUAGUGUCAACUAAAUUAGCAUAGCAGCAGCUUUCGAACAAACAGUGAUCUUCAUAUUUGGCUAAAGGCCCUUACAACAACUAAAAAUCGAUGACUAACACGGUACUGCUCCGGUACCAAGUGUUAUAUAUAGCUCAAUCGAAUCCAGAUCAGGCAACCCAGAGAUGGAAUACUGCAAAACCCAUCAAAGUUAUUCAUAUUCAAGCGCCACAUUGGCGCUUGAUUACAGAGAUGAUUACAACGGCACACGACACACAACAGCUUCUUAACGAAAGAAAACAAUCCAAAAUUGUAGUUUUUCACGAAAAUCUGAACAUUAUUGGACAGAGAACCGCUCAUUCCUGCAACCACAAAGAAGCUGGAUUCAACCAGAGAUCUCAAUGGCCUUGACCUCAGGCUUCCUCUCCUCCACCUUGGGAACAGUGACGGUGAGCACCCCGUUCUCCAUCGAGGCCUUCACCUGAUCCAUCUUCGCAUUCUCGGGCAGCCUGAACCUCCUCAUGAACUUCCCGCUGCUUCUCUCGACCCGGUGCCAGGUGUCGUUCUUGUCCUCCUUCUCCACGUUCCUCUCGCCGCUUAUCUAGACCACCUGAUCGUCUUCAAUUUCGACCUUGACUUCCUCCUUCUUGAGCCCGGGAAGAUCAGCCUUGAACACGUGGGCUUCCGGGGUCUCCUUCCAGUCGAUCCUCGUGUUGACAAAAGCGGUGUUCUCCCGGAAAGUUUGAGGGAAAUUAGAGGCGGAGAGGGAGGAGGAAGGGAAAGGGAAGUCCUUGAACGGGUCCCAGAGGUCGAGCGAGAAGGGGUCGUAGAUGUUGCUGCGAUGGCCGCCGAACCAACUUGGGAUGAGCGACAUCGUACCUGCUUCUGCUGCAGCUGUUAGAUGAUUCAAAGACGUUUGGUGAUUGAUCGUGGGACUGACGCUCUCUGUUGCUGAUG
rnacentral:lncRNA from 1 species